rnacentral:rRNA from 1 species
GACGAACGCUGGCGGCGUGCCUAAUACAUGCAAGUAGAACGCACAGUUUAUACCGUAGCUUGCUACACCAUAGACUGUGAGUUGCGAACGGGUGAGUAACGCGUAGGUAACCUGCCUGGUAGCGGGGGAUAACUAUUGGAAACGAUAGCUAAUACCGCAUAAUAUUGAUUAUUGCAUGAUAAUUGAUUGAAAGAUGCUAUUGCAUCACUACCAGAUGGACCUGCGUUGUAUUAGCUAGUAGGUGAGGUAACGGCUCACCUAGGCGACGAUACAUAGCCGACCUGAGAGGGUGAUCGGCCACACUGGGACUGAGACACGGCCCAGACUCCUACGGGAGGCAGCAGUAGGGAAUCUUCGGCAAUGGACGAAAGUCUGACCGAGCAACGCCGCGUGAGUGAAGAAGGGUUUCGGAUCGUAAAGCUCUGUUGUAAGAGAAGAACGGGUGUGAGAGUGGAAAGUUCACACUGUGACGGUAGCUUACCAGAAAGGGACGGCUAACUACGUG